CAAACAUUAACCUUCAUGAAGAAAGAUAUUUGGCGCUUCUGCCAGAGGAGUCUGAUGAGUCCUGGUCUAGGUUUUGUUGCUUUCAUUUGGGUCUUCAUGAUGACGUGUGCGGACGUUCCCGCUGAAAAAUCUCUUUCUGUGCCUCCUCACUGGCUGAUCCCAACAGGAAGUCUGAGAGAAGAGAGCCUGUCACUGCAGUUCAUCCAAGUCAGUGUCCCAGGGCAGCAGUGAAUGGAAAGGAUGCUUGGGCCCAGUUGGGUGGUCUGGCUGGAGCAGCUUGUUCCAUGUGUCUCUCUUCCUCCUGGGACCAUCAAGCUCACCCGUGGAUGCUCUUCUCACUCACAGAGAUGGAAGACGUACAAGGGAGCAAGGCCAAUUGUGCAAGUGCUUUUCCGACUUUUGGUCAUGUCAUACUCCAUAAUGUUCUAUUGGCCUAAACAAGUCACAUGGCCAACUCUGGGAUAGAGAGAGCAUGUGACUAUUUCUGGACAAUAAUCUAUCAUACUCACCAAAGAUUCUCCUGCACCUUUCCUCCUGUGACCUUUUGAAUAUUGGCUAAGGGAAACAUUGACAAAUGAUAGAGGAUUCUCUGACGGAUCUUGUGGAAUUCUCUUCAGCAUGGUCUCUCCUCAAAGCUGUGUAGUCAUAUACCUAAAAAAAAUUUAGAAUGUAUUAUCAAUAGAUUCUGCUGCUAAUUCCUGCACGUUCAGCAUCUC